GUUCGAGAUCGAUGUUUUGCUGGCGGCCAUUUUAAUAUGGCGCGAUUUCAACAAAUUUCUGACGAAGAUUUGAAAAUAAGACAAGAGAGCCUUAAAAACAACAAUACAACUAAAAAUGAAAAAAAAAGCAGAAGGCAUAUUCAAGGAAUAUUUAAUUCAAAUUGGAGAGGAAGACAACUUCUACGAAUUCAGCGAAGAAAAACUCAACAAGCA